rnacentral:rRNA from 1 species
AAUGAACGCUGGCGGCAUGCCUAACACAUGCAAGUCGAACGAAGGCUUCGGCCUUAGUGGCGCACGGGUGCGUAACGCGUGGGAAUCUGCCCUUGGGUUCGGAAUAACAGUUAGAAAUGACUGCUAAUACCGGAUGAUGUCGUAAGACCAAAGAUUUAUCGCCCAAGGAUGGGCCCGCGUAGGAUUAGCUAGUUGGUGGGGUAAAGGCCUACCAAGGCGACGAUCCUUAGCUGGUCUGAGAGGAUGAUCAGCCACACUGGGACUGAGACACGGCCCAGACUCCUACGGGAGGCAGCAGUGGGGAAUAUUGGACAAUGGGCGAAAGCCUGAUCCAGCAAUGCCGCGUGAGUGAUGAAGGCCUUAGGGUUGUAAAGCUCUUUUACCCGGGAUGAUAAUGACAGUACCGGGAGAAUAAGCUCCGGCUAACUUCGUG